rnacentral:rRNA from 1 species
UGGGGAAUAUUGCACAAUGGGGGAAAUCCUGAUGCAGCGACGCCGCGUGAGCGAAGAAGUAUUUCGGUAUGUAAAGCUCUAUCAGCAGGGAAGAUGAUGACGGUACCUGACUAAGAAGCCCCGGCUAACUACGUGCCAGCAGCCGCGGUAAUACGUAGGGGGCAAGCGUUAUCCGGGUUUACUGGGUGUAAAGGGAGCGUAGACGGCGAAGCAAGUCUGGUGUGAAAACCCGGGGCUCAACCCCGGGCCUGCAUUGGAAACUGUUUUGCUUGAGUGCCGGAGAGGUAAGCGGAAUUCCUAGUGUAGCGGUGAAAUGCGUAGAUAUUAGGAGGAACACCAGUGGCGAAGGCGGCUUACUGGACGGUAACUGACGUUGAGGCUCGAAAGCGUGGGGAGCAAACAGG